CCUACGGGUGGCACCAGUGGGGAAUAUUGCACAAUGGGCGCAAGCCUGAUGCAGCCAUGCCGCGUGUAUGAAGAAGGCCCUAGGGUUGUAAAGUACUUUCAGUCGGGAGGAAGGCGUUGAUGCUAAUAUCAACAACGAUUGACGUUACCGACAGAAGAAGCACCGGCUAACUCCGUGCCAGCAGCCGCGGUAGUACGGAGGGUGUAAGCGUUAAUCGGAAUUAUUGGGCGUAAAGCGCACGCUGGCGGUUGAUUAAGUUAGAUGUGAAAUCCCCGGGCUUAACCUGGGAAUGGCAUCUAAGACUGGUCAGCUAGAGUCUUGUAGAGGGGGGUAGAAUUCCAUGUGUAGCGGUGACAUGCGUAGAGAUGUGGAGGAAUACCGGUGGCGAAGGCGGCCCCCUGGACAAAGACUGACGCUCAGGUGCGAAAGCGUGGGGAGCAAACAGGAUUAGAUACCCGUGUAGUC
rnacentral:rRNA from 1 species